CCUACGGGUGGCAGCAGUGGGGGAUAUUGCACAAUGGGGGGAACCCUGAUGCAGCAACGCAGCGUGGGUGAAGGAGGGUUUCGGCGCGUAAAGCCCUAUCGGAAGGGAAGAAGAUGACGGUACCUGACCAAGAAGCCCCGGCUAACUACGUGCCAGCAGCCGCGGUAAUACGUAGGGGGCAAGCGGUAUCCGGAUUUACUGGGGUUAAAGGGGGCGCAGGCGGCAAUGCAAGCCCGGAGUGAAAGCCCGGGGCCCAACCCCGGGACUGCUCUUUGAACUGCAUGGCUUGAGUACAGGAGGGGCAGGCGGAAUUCCUGGUGUAGCGGUGAAAUGCGUAGAUAUUAGGAGGAACACCGGUGGCGAAGGCGGCCUGCUGGACUGUGACUGACGUUGAGGCUCGAAGGCGUGGGGAGCAAACAGGAUUAGAUACCCCGGUAGUC
rnacentral:rRNA from 1 species